ensembl:misc_RNA 7SK 7SK RNA
GGAUGUGAGGGCGAUCUGGCUGCGACAUGUCACCCCACUGACCGCCGGGGCUGAUUCGGCUGCUCUGGCUGGCGAGGCGGGUGUCCCCUCCCUCCCUCACGGCUCCAAGUGCGUCCCUCCCGAAGCUGCGCGCUCGAAGAGGACGACCAGCCCCGACAGAGGAGGACCGGUCUUCGGUCAAGGGUAUACGAGUAGCUGCGCUCCCUCUCAAGGUCCUACAGUAGGUGAAGGGACUGAUAAAAUGAGGCACCUGCACACAAUGGAAUUUCCAUUACAAAGAACAAGAUUG